GCGCCUGUCUCCUGGAGAAAAAGUCGCAGGAGUCGCCUUCGGUUUCUAAUUGUGGAGGGGAGCCGUACCUUUUGAACCGGGUCCAGGUCCAGGAGGAGGGUUCCCAGGGUCUGUGCUGUUGAUCGUUUUGAAUUUCGGCGCCUUAGGAGCUUAUCGUUUGAGAUCGGUCGGGAAGGGUUUUCCGGAGAUCUGGACUUUAGCUUUCUCUAAGCCGCCAUCUUAACCGGAAGUCCUCCACCAUGCUAAGCUCUUAACAGUUAUCUCAGGUUUUUGUGGGGAGGAGGAGUCAAGAUGGCAGUGUAGAGGCAGUGAAAGUUCAGACCUCUGAAAACCCAUCCUUACCCAUUUCAAACCAAAUGCUCCUAGGACACUGAAAAUCAAACCUAACAGUAGGACAGAGCCAAGGAACCCUCCUGCUGGACUCAACUUAAAAGGUACACCCCCCCCCAAAAAAAAGCCUGAAUUUGAAAACACUCGGGUCUAAGGGGAAAGAAGAAGGAAGGUCCCAGGAGCCCUCCCCCACCUAGACUGCUGAGCCUCCAGCGGUAGCUGGAACCUCUGGGUGGACAAGGGUGC
rnacentral:lncRNA from 1 species